rnacentral:rRNA from 1 species
UCGCCUGUUUAACAAAAACAUAGSUAAGUUAAACUUAGUGCAUCUGCCCAAUGAUAAAAUUUAAAUGGCCUAUAAGGUAGCAAAAUAAUUUGUUUUUUAAUUAAAAACAUGUAUGAAGACAGCAUUAACUAAAUAUAUCUUUUCUCAUUGUGUGAACUUAAGAAACCAGUGCAAACUCUGGUAAUCCCCUUUUAGACGAUAAGACCCUAAAACCUUCACUAAGUUUUACUGGGAUAGUAAAUUAAAAAGAAUAAAAUCUAACCAAUAAUUACUAACCAUUUUUAUGCUAACAAAGGUACUUUAGGGAUAACAGCGUUCCUCCCUUUCAAAGCUCUAAUUUAUAAGGGUAAUACAACCUCGAUGUUGAAUUAAGCCCUGAACAGCCGCAGAAGGUUGAUUUAGCUAAGUCUGUUCGACUUAUAAUGCUUACGUGAUCUGAGUUCAGACCGG